rnacentral:SRP_RNA from 1 species
GCUGGGUGUGGUGGCGCACACCUAUAAUCCCAGCUACUGGGGAGGCUGAGGCAGGAGAAUCACUUGAACCCGGGAGGCAGAGAUUGCAGUGAGCCGAGAUCAUGCCACUGCAUUCCAGCCUGGGCAACAGAGUGAGACUCUGUCUCAA